AGAGCGGGAGCCCGGAGAUGGGCACUGAGACAAGGGCCCAGGCCCUACGGGGCGCAGCAGGUGCGAAAACUCCGCAAUGCGCGAAAGCGUGACGGGGCCAUCCCGAGUGCUGUCCGCUGAGGACAGCUUUUCCAUGGUGUAAUGAGCCGUGGGAAUAAGAAGGGGGCAAGUCUGGUGUCAGCCGCCGCGGUAAAACCAGCUCUUCGAGUGGUAGGGAUAAUUAUUGGGCCUAAAGCGUCCGUAGCUGGCUCAACAAGUCUUCUGUUAAAUCCGGCGACCUAAUCGUUGGGCUGCAGGAGAUACUGUUGGACUAGGGGGCGGAAGAAGCCGACGGUACUCCCGGGGUAGGGGUGAAAUCCUAUAAUCCCGGGAAGACCACCAGUGGCGAAGGCUGUCGGCU
rnacentral:rRNA from 1 species